rnacentral:rRNA from 1 species
CUUAAAUUGAAGAGUUUGAUCAUGGCUCAGAUUGAACGCUGGCGGCAGGCCUAACACAUGCAAGUCGAGCGGUAGCACAGAGAGCUUGCUCUCGGGUGACGAGCGGCGGACGGGUGAGUAAUGUCUGGGAAACUGCCUGAUGGAGGGGGAUAACUACUGGAAACGGUAGCUAAUACCGCAUAAUGUCGCAAGACCAAAGUGGGGGACCUUCGGGCCUCAUGCCAUCAGAUGUGCCCAGAUGGGAUUAGCUAGUAGGUGGGGUAACGGCUCACCUAGGCGACGAUCCCUAGCUGGUCUGAGAGGAUGACCAGCCACACUGGAACUGAGACACGGUCCAGACUCCUACGGGAGGCAGCAGUGGGGAAUAUUGCACAAUGGGCGCAAGCCUGAUGCAGCCAUGCCGCGUGUGUGAAGAAGGCCUUCGGGUUGUAAAGCACUUUCAGCGGGGAGGAAGGCGUUAAGGUUAAUAACCUUGGCGAUUGACGUUACCCGCAGAAGAAGCACCGGCUAACUCCGUGCCAGCAGCCGCGGUAAUACGGAGGGUGCAAGCGUUAAUCGGAAUUACUGGGCGUAAAGCGCACGCAGGCGGUCUGUCAAGUCGGAUGUGAAAUCCCCGGGCUCAACCUGGGAACUGCAUUCGAAACUGGCAGGCUAGAGUCUUGUAGAGGGGGGUAGAAUUCCAGGUGUAGCGGUGAAAUGCGUAGAGAUCUGGAGGAAUACCGGUGGCGAAGGCGGCCCCCUGGACAAAGACUGACGCUCAGGUGCGAAAGCGUGGGGAGCAAACAGGAUUAGAUACCCUGGUAGUCCACGCCGUAAACGAUGUCGAUUUGGAGGUUGUGCCCUUGAGGCGUGGCUUCCGGAGCUAACGCGUUAAAUCGACCGCCUGGGGAGUACGGCCGCAAGGUUAAAACUCAAAUGAAUUGACGGGGGCCCGCACAAGCGGUGGAGCAUGUGGUUUAAUUCGAUGCAACGCGAAGAACCUUACCUGGUCUUGACAUCCACAGAACUUUCCAGAGAUGGAUUGGUGCCUUCGGGAACUGUGAGACAGGUGCUGCAUGGCUGUCGUCAGCUCGUGUUGUGAAAUGUUGGGUUAAGUCCCGCAACGAGCGCAACCCUUAUCCUUUGUUGCCAGCGGUUAGGCCGGGAACUCAAAGGAGACUGCCAGUGAUAAACUGGAGGAAGGUGGGGAUGACGUCAAGUCAUCAUGGCCCUUACGACCAGGGCUACACACGUGCUACAAUGGCAUAUACAAAGAGAAGCGACCUCGCGAGAGCAAGCGGACCUCAUAAAGUAUGUCGUAGUCCGGAUUGGAGUCUGCAACUCGACUCCAUGAAGUCGGAAUCGCUAGUAAUCGUAGAUCAGAAUGCUACGGUGAAUACGUUCCCGGGCCUUGUACACACCGCCCGUCACACCAUGGGAGUGGGUUGCAAAAGAAGUAGGUAGCUUAACCUUCGGGAGGGCGCUUACCACUUUGUGAUUCAUGACUGGGGUGAAGUCGUAACAAGGUAACCGUAGGGGAACCUGCGGUUGGAUCACCUCCUUACC